GGAUAAAAGGUACUCCCGGGAUAACAGGCUGAUCUCCCCCAAGAGCUCACAUCGACGGGGGGGUUUGGCACCUCGAUGUCGGCUCGUCACAUCCUGGGGCUGGAGAAGGUCCCAAGGGUUGGGCUGUUCGCCCAUGAAAGCGGCACGUGAGCUGGGUUCAGAACGUCGUGAGACAGCUCGGUCCCUAUCUGCCGUGGGUG
rnacentral:rRNA from 1 species